AAGUCGUAACAAGGUCUCCGUAGGUGAACCUGCGGAGGGAUCAUUACAAGUGACCCGGUUUACCACCGGGAUGUUCAUAACCCUUUGUUGUCCGACUCUGUUGCCUCCGGGGCGACCCUGCCUUCGGGCGGGGGCUCCGGGUGUGCACUUCAAACUCUUGCGUAACUUUGCAGUCUGAGUAAAUUUAAUUAAUAAAUUAAAACUUUCAACAACGGAUCUCUUGGUUCUGGCAUCGAUGAAGAACGCAGCGAAAUGCGAUAAGUAAUGUGAAUUGCAGAAUUCAGUGAAUCAUCGAAUCUUUGAACGCACAUUGCGCCCCCUGGUAUUCCGGGGGCAUGCCUGUUCGAGCGUCAUUUCACCACUCAAGCCUCGCUUGGUAUUGGGCAACGCGGUCCGCCGCGUGCCUCAAAUCGACCGGCUGGGUCUUCUGUCCCCUAAGCGUUGUGGAAACUAUUCGCUAAAGGUGGUUCGGGAGGCUACGCCGUAAAACAACCCCAUUUCUAAGGUUGACCUCGGAUCAGGUAGGGAUACCCGCUGAACUUAA
rnacentral:rRNA from 1 species